AUACGUAGGUGACAAGCGUUAUCCGGAUUUACUGGGCGUAAAGGGCGUGUAGGCGGUCUUGCAAGUCAGAAGCGAAAUUCCUGAGCUCAACUCGGGCGCUGCUUCUGAAACUGCAGGACUUGAGUGCUGGAGGGGAUAGCGGAAUUCCUAGUGGAGCGGUAAAAUGCGCAGAUAUUAGGAAGAACACCGGUGGCGAAGGCGGUUAUCUGGACAGUAACUGCAGCUGCGGCGCGAAAGCGUGGGGAGAAAACAGGAGUAGAUGCCCUGGUAGUCCACGCCGUACACGAUGAAUACUAGGUGUAGGGGGUAUCGACUCCCUCUGUGCCGCAGGUAACACAAUACGUAUUCCGCCUGGGGAGUCCGGCCGCAAGGUUGAUGCUCAAAUGAAUUGACUGGG
rnacentral:rRNA from 1 species